rnacentral:rRNA from 1 species
UGGGGAAUAUUGCACAAUGGGGGAAACCCUGAUGCAGCAACGCCGCGUGAAGGAAGACGGUUUUCGGAUUGUAAACUUCUGUUCUUAGUGAAGAAUAAUGACGGUAGCUAAGGAGCAAGCCACGGCUAACUACGUGCC